rnacentral:rRNA from 1 species
UACGUAUGGUGCAAGCGUUAUCCGGAUUUACUGGGUGUAAAGGGAGCGUAGACGGCAAUGCAAGUCUGGAGUGAAAGGCGGGGGCCCAACCCCCGGACUGCUCUGGAAACUGUAUAGCUGGAGUGCAGGAGAGGUAAGUGGAAUUCCUAGUGUAGCGGUGAAAUGCGUAGAUAUUAGGAGGAACACCAGUGGCGAAGGCGGCUUACUGGACUGUAACUGACGUUGAGGCUCGAAAGCGUGGGGAGCAAACAGG